UAGGGAAUAUUGGACAAUGGGGGCAACCCUGAUCCAGCCAUGCCGCGUGAGUGAAGAAGGCCCUCGGGUUGUAAAGCUCUUUUGUCCGGAAAGAAAAGCUUCGGGUUAAUACCCCGGGGUUCUGACGGUACCGGAAGAAUAAGCACCGGCUAACUUCGUGCCAGCAGCCGCGGUAAUACGAAGGGUGCAAGCGUUACUCGGAAUUACUGGGCGUAAAGCGUGCGUAGGUGGUUGUUUAAGUCUGAUGUGAAAGCCCUGGGCUCAACCUGGGAAUGGCAUUGGAAACUGGGCAGGUAGAGUGCGGUAGAGGGUAGUGGAAUUCCCGGUGUAGCAGUGAAAUGCGUAGAGAUCGGGAGGAACAUCUGUGGCGAAGGCGACUGCCUGGACCAGCACUGACACUGAGGCACGAAAGCGUGGGGAGCAAACA
rnacentral:rRNA from 1 species